CUCAGCUACAGCUGUAUUGUUGCUUAUCAUACAAACAGCACGCUGUACCCUGGCAAGAUCACCUCCAGGUACUACCGUUGGGGGCUGGUAGUUGAUACCACACUUGAAACCAGUUGGGCACCUGAAAGUAUGCAUACACAACAUUACAUUUCCAACAGAAAGAGAGAAUGAAGUGCAAACAUAUAUUUAAUGAAAAUCACGUGCUAGGAUAGUGAGAAAUCAUAUUAUUUCAGCAAAAAGGGAACACUAAUCCUAGUGAUACAGAAUCCGAUUCCCUUUCAAAAAAACCUAGAAUUAUAGCAUCUAUUGAUCCUAAAGAGAAGUUUGUAUUCACUUGAGCUUUUCUACAUUACUUUCAAAGAAAAUAAUUCCAAUACUUGAAAGAGUAGCAGGUAGGAGUCUAUAAACUCUGAAAUGUGAACAAUUUCUUAUACAGUAAAAUCUUUUUAAAGCCCCUUCAAGAUGAUGGAAUCGUGCCCUAAUUGCUAAGUGAAUUUAACCAUUCAAAUUUCAUGCCUCAAAGAAUGACAGCUGCUAAUUAAAUGGCAAAGCCAAAACUGGCACGAUACACAAACAGAAUGAUGAAAACCUUAUUUCUAUCUUGAGCAGGAGGGGACAAUCACAAUAGCAGUUGGCCCCCUAAAAGAUGCAGCAUAUAAGAACAAUACCAAUGCAACAUGCUAUGACUGAUGAAGCAAAUCUCAUCUCAGAAGGGGGGGAAAAGUAUUGCUAAAUGUUAAUUCUGAUAGAUUAGGCGCAAGUUAUGUCAACUCACCAGUCAACAAAUUGAAC
rnacentral:misc_RNA from 1 species